AGCGAACGCUGGCGGCAGGCCUAACACAUGCAAGUCGAACGAACUCUUCGGAGUUAGCGGCGGACGGGUGAGUAACACGUGGGAACGUGCCUUUUGGUUCGGAAUAACUCAGGGAAACUUGUGCUAAUACCGAAUGUGCCCUUCGGGGGAAAGAUUUAUCGCCAUUAGAGCGGCCCGCGUCUGAUUAGCUAGUUGGUGAGGUAACGGCUCACCAAGGCGACGAUCAGUAGCUGGUCUGAGAGGAUGACCAGCCACACUGGGACUGAGACACGGCCCAGACUCCUACGGGAGGCAGCAGUGGGGAAUCUUGCGCAAUGGGCGAAAGCCUGACGCAGCCAUGCCGCGUGAAUGAUGAGGGUCUUAGGAUUGUAAAAUUCUUUCACCGGGGACGAUAAUGACGGUACCCGGAGAAGAAGCCCCGGCUAACUUCGUG
rnacentral:rRNA from 1 species